rnacentral:rRNA from 1 species
UACGGAGGGUGCAAGCGUUGUCCGGAAUUAUUGGGUGUAAAGGGUGUGUAGGCGGACUUGUAAGUCAGGGGUGAAAGGCUGCGGCUCAACCGUGGAAUUGCCUUUGAUACUGCAGGUCUUGAGUGUCGGAGAGGCUGCUAGAAUUCGUGGUGUAGCGGUGAAAUGCGUAGAUAUCACGAGGAAUACCAGAGGCGUAGGCGGGCAGCUGGACGACGACUGACGCUGAGGCACGAAAGCGUGGGGAGCGAACAGG